UUUAGCUUCAGAGUUCAUAUUAUUUCCUCACUCGAUGUGUUUUAUUUGUUAUAGAAACGUGGUGAGGGUAAAUAUGUUAGCAGAGUUCACAAACGACAUACAAUAAAGGUUGGAACCAUCAUACGCUUUUUAGUCAAGAGGUGACUUGUUAUUGUAUUUGUUGUAAUUGUGCACUUAAAUAUUUAAUGCCAUGAUUUCUGUAGAUAUUGUAUCAUUUGUUAAUUUUGAAUUGAAAAUGAUAUGCUCUCUCUGUAGACAUGCCAUUCACACAUAAACUUUGUAUUGAGUGUCCUAAAGGAACAACUAUUGUGUUGAAACCCGAUGGUCAUGCUGUGGAGAGCAGAGUCUGAAUUUUUCACAGGCGUUGAGAUCUCUUGAUGUCAUUAUGCUGUUUAUAACUUAUUAAAAAACGAGGAAAAAUCUGAAUGGUUAAAAUAUCAACUAAUGUGGAGCUUCAAAGAUGUGAUUAAGGGAUGAGAGUUGGAUCAAUUAAUUUCAAAAUCAAAAUUGGUGGUGGAUAUGCAAAAUGUGCCAGCUUAAGCUCUAUAACCAUUCUAGGGGCUUUGUUUCCAUAGAUCAAGGAAUACAAGAUUUAUAGUAUUUAUGCUAUAACAUAUGUGGUUGUGUAUCGUAUGCAAUUAGUUUUUGGCUGUUUUUUCUUUGCUAGAGUUACUUGAGGUAAUUGACGGUAUUCAUCAUUGAAUUAGUCUACUGUAAAAGCAAUUGGCAUACUCACCAUUUAGCAAUUUUAUGGUAGAAUUUUGAGAGAUUUGUGAUGAAAUAUUAUAGUUUGGUCAAAUCCUCAGUCUAAUUGAGAAAUUGUUAAACAUCUCUAGGAAAACCUUGAUAUUUUUCUUUUGUUGCUGAUAUUUGAAUU
rnacentral:misc_RNA from 1 species